rnacentral:misc_RNA from 1 species
AACGCACAUUGCGCCCGGUAGUAAUCUGCCGGGCAUGCCUGUCCGAGCGUCAUUUCUCCCCUCGAGCGCGGCUUCACGGCCUGUCGCUCGGUGUUGGGGCGCUACGGUGGGAGCCCCGCGCUCCCCCGUAGGCCCCGAAAUGUAGUGGCGGUCCCGCCGCGGCGCCCCCUGCGUAGUAGUCUUACAACUCGCAUCGGGACCCGGCGGAGGCCAGCCGUCAAACCCCCAACUUCAAUAGUUUGACCUCGGAUCAGGUAGGGUUACCCGCUGAACUUAA